AUGGAUGAACCCAACUCGUACGAGGAGCAGCGCAGGAGGCAGGUGGAGGAGAAUGAGCGGAAGCUGGAGGAGCUGCGCCUGCACCGCCUCUCCGCCGCCGUGCGCGAGGCCGCCGUCAAGCCCAUGCCGGUCAGUUCCACCCCUCCUUCCUCACAAAAGAGGCGCUUCGCUGUCCGGUUCCUUCCCCCGUCUGAUUUGCUCGUGCCGCAGACCAAGGAGCUGAAGCUGCGGUAUCUUCGCGCGCCGCCGCCCCCGACCCGGCGGUCCGGCCGCGUCGCCAGUCUCCCCAAGCAACCCGAUUACCGCGACAAGAAAGCCCCGAGAAGGGGAUUACCACCUGAUCGUGUGUACGCGACCGACGAAGCUAGAGACUACGCCUUCACCAAGGCCAAAGAGCUCAAUAACCAGCUGUCCUCCGCUCACCCCUCCUUCAUCAAGCCCAUGACCCGUAGUUAUGCCACGGGUCACCUGCUGACCAUCCCGCAGCAAUUCAAGAAGAGCUAUCUCCCAUGGUUUGAUGAGAUGAUCUUUCUGGUGGAUGAAGAGGAUGGGGAGUUUCCCAUGCCUUACAUGGCGCAACAUGGUGCCAUCGGCUCUGGGUGGAACUUGUUCGCCAUCGGUCACAAGCUGGCUGAUGGUGAUUGCUUGGUGUUCCAGCAAGUCCAGAGGACAAAGUUUAAGUGCCUUGCAGGAUGGAAAUAUAUGACUGAAGCGAAGAUCAAUGGGAGCCUUGCUGUCCUGAAGUUUAAUCUAUUAACAUGGAAUGAAGAAUGGUAG
rnacentral:rRNA from 1 species